UACGUAGGGGGCAAGCGUUGUCCGGAAUCAUUGGGCGUAAAGCGCGUGUAGGCGGUUCGGUAAGUCGGCUGUGAAAGUCCAGGGCUCAACCCUGGGAUGCCGGUCGAUACUGCCGGACUAGAGUUCGGAAGAGGCGAGUGGAAUUCCCGGUGUAGCGGUGAAAUGCGCAGAUAUCGGGAGGAACACCAAUGGCGAAGGCAGCUCGCUGGGACGUUACUGACGCUGAGGCGCGAAAGCCAGGGGAGCGAACGGG
rnacentral:rRNA from 1 species